CACAAUUUUGGUUAAAUUACUUCGUUUAUUAUAUUAUUUUUACAUAUUUUUACUCGACAAAUUUAGAAAAUCAAUUCAGGCAGAGUCUUGGUUGUCGAAGAUAUACUCAUCGAGAGUCCAGACACUUUGUGUUUUUAUUGAUGCAAUUACAUAUGUUCGGUGUUGCUGUAAUUAUUGAAAGAAAACAAGAAAACUCAGAUCUUCAAAAUCUCUCUCCUUGGCGUCAUUGAGGUAAAGCAAACCACCUUCAGCUGUGCCUGAUGGGGAGUAGAAGAAAAAGCGAG